AUGACAUUUUCUUCCCCUUAUGUGUUAUUGUUUAUUCAAGGAAACGGUGUUAUUUUGGACAUUGAAGGAGAUGACAUCCAGAGAGACCUGAAGAAGCACACCAUGGGCAUUUAUGUCAUCAACAAGGAGGAUGGACAAAAUGGACAUUAUGAUGACAUUGGAAUAUUUGUUGAAGGCGAGAUUGUCAUGGACAACAUUGGAUCUCCGGCCCAAGCUUGUGCAUUGAUGCUUGGAGUAAUCUAUGCACUAAACCUAGCCUACCCCAAGGAAUUGAGGCACUAUUAUGAAUUCAUUCAGAAAGUGUUGAUGGGAUUGGAUGGGGAAAAGCUCUCCACCAAAGUCCUUGGGCUGAAGAACAAAAUCGCUACUGGAUAGGAAGAUUUCUAAAACCACACAUCCAGAGAAUGCUGUUAUGUAAAUUACCAAUGACUGGUGCUCUUGUGAAUAGGAGUGAAACUCUUGUAUAACCAUCAUUCAUUCUCACGUUAUGU